rnacentral:rRNA from 1 species
GCUAAGGUAGCAUAAUCAUUAGUUUCUUAAUUAGAAGCUGGUAUGAAUGGUUUGAUGAAAAAAUAGCUGUCUCUGUUUAAAUUAUAUAAAAUUUUAUUUUUUAGUAAAAAAGCUGAAAUUUUUUUGAAAGACGAGAAGACCCUAUAGAGUUUUAUAAUUUUAAAUUUUAUUUUUUAUUAGAAUUUUAAAUUAUUAAGAUUUUACAUUAUUUAGUUGGGGUGAUUGAAAAAAUAAAUUAACUUUUUUUUGUUUACAACAUAUAUUUAUGAAAAUUUGAUCCAUUAUUUAUGAUUAAAAGAUAAAAUUACCUUAGGGAUAACAGCGUAAUAUUUCCAGAGAGUUCUUAUCGAAGGAAAGGAUUGCGACCUCGAUGUUGGAUUAAAAUUAACUUUUGGUGUAAAAGCUGAAGUAAUAGUUAGGUCUGUUCGACCUUUAAAAUUUUACAUGAUCUGA